AGUCAGCAAGUCAGAUCCAUAACUUUGGGAUAAGGAUUGGAUCUAAGGGCUGGAUCAGUCUGGUUGGGUUGGGAAGCGGGGAUGGGCCCGAGUCUCGGCUGGACGAGGCGCCGUGUGCCAUGGCCACUCUCGCGCGCCCCAUUCGGAGCCCUCCCUCCCCUUCUCGCGGGAAGGACGGGCUGCCAGGGGGUCAAGCCAUCGUCCACGGCAGCAAAUCUGGACAUGUGCCGGGCCCGUCCCGUGGAAUUCCCCAGCUGCGACACUGGGCCCAGAGGGGGGAGGGGAAGGCCGGCUGGCGGCCUCGGCCAGUGUUUAGCAGCUGGCUUAGAACUGGUGAGGACCAGGUGAAUUUGACUGUUUAAUUAAAACAAAGCAUUGUGAAGGCCCACGGUGGGUGUCAACGCAAUGUGAUUUCUGCCUAGUGCUCUGAAUGUCAAAGUGAAGAAAUUCAAUGAAGCGCAGCUAAACGGCGGGAGUAACUAUGACUCUCUUAGCCCCCUUGGGUAAGGAGUGGAGGCGUAGGCAACCCACUAGGUAGUACACAUGGUGAAACCUCAAAAUGGAGAGUAAUGUUAAUGAUU
rnacentral:ncRNA from 1 species